GUAGGUGAACCUGCGGAAGGAUCAUUACUGAGUUCAUGCCCUCACGGGUAGAUCUCCACCCUUGAAUACCUAUCUUUGUUGCUUUGGCGGGCCGCUUCGGCUACUGGCUUCGGCUGGUGAGUGCCCGCCAGAGAACCCUCAACUUUGAAUUAUAGUGUCGUCUGAGAAUUAUCAAAUAGUUAAAACUUUCAACAACGGAUCUCUUGGUUCUGGCAUCGAUGAAGAACGCAGCAUCUGACUGACUAGCAAC
rnacentral:misc_RNA from 1 species